AAAGCAAGGCUCCUUACUCAUUGGGAACAACUGGACUAUGGAGUACAGUUUACAUCUUCACAGAAGUUUUUCACAAUUUCUCCAAUUAUUCUAUACUUCCUGGCAAGUUUCUAUACGAAGUUAUGAUCCAACUCACUUCAUCCUAAACACAGCUUCUCUCCUGAGUGUGCUGAUUCCCAAAAUGCCACAGCUACAUGGUGUUCAGGUCUUUGGAAUUAAUAAUAAGUACUGAAAAGUUUUGAAACUGAACACAAAUUUUUACAGCCACUGAGUUUUCUGUAAGGAAGGAGUGAUUAGUAAACUGCACUGUUUCUGUAAUAAUAUGAAAUGAAAGGUAUUUACAUUGGAGGGCCAAUUGCUGGUUCUUCAUGUGUGGUUUGAAGUGCAGAUUUUUACAAGAAGAUGCCUCUGUUUAAUGCAUCUAGUAUCUCUCUGAAGAGAGGCUUCAUAGGCAGGCUGGGCAGGCCCAGGUUCUAAGUUAAAUGACUAUAAAGUAAGGGUGUAGUAGAUAAAUACAAAGAAAUAAGAGAUUUGUAAGCAACUAGGUCCAGCUUAGCUUAUAAUGAAAGGGCACUAUAUCAGGAGCAGAAAAUUUUCAAUCAUUCAGUCAUGAUCAUUUAGGCAAACUUAUGUGUAAACCAGAAUCAUCUUUUUACAAGUUUAUUAUAGAUUGUUUUUAUUACCAUACAUAUUCCUCUUGUGUUAAUAUUAAAAAGGUAUAUACCCUCUUGUUUUAUACAAACCAAUUUCUACCUUAUUAGUGUGUUUUUUCGGUUUUGAACAUUGUGUUGAGAGAUGAUUCAUUUUUACAUUUAUUAGGUUACUGAGUUCGUGAAGGUCCUUCAUGACAUGACUGAUAAUAGAAGAUAGGCAUCUUAGAAGCAGCCUCUUGAGUUGGCCUCCUAAUUUUGGAACAGAGUGGGUUUUGCUGCCUUUCCAGAUACAAGGCUGCUAAAUCAAUUAAGAAAACAAUUUAUUUCUCAGUUGAAGUAUAUGGUAACAUAAAGGUCUCUGCUUAUUUGGUUGAGCAAUCUUAUUGUUGAAGUCUGCCAUUUAGAAAACGAAAUAUAAAAUGGACAACCACAUAGCCAAAAUGUGGUCUGGCGGAAACUGCUUUUCUAGCAAUAGUAUCAAAGUAAAUAAUGGAGUCCUUUUUUUUUUAACAGGUCUGUAGUAAAAGAUAACAUCAGUUUUUCUUAGUCCUUCUGUUCUCAGUCCCACAUUUUGCCCAUCAAUACAUGAGUCAUUGUAGAUAACCCAAAAUGGUAACUAUUUCCAAAGCAGCAACCAUAUUGAAUUCUCGUGACUUAGAGAAGCUUCCUGUAGUUGCUGACAUUAAUUGCAAGAAAUAACUACUACUUUGAGAAGUAAAUAUCAAGAAAAGUUCUGAUGUGGGAUGAAACUGAAAAACCUAGUAACAUUUGUAUGAACAAUUGAGUGAAAAGAAUUAUAAAGCCAACUUAAUCAGUUUGUUUCCAGCUGACUUUUGGGGGUAAUGAUCAUUGUUUUGUAUUUCAAAAGUAUUGAGUUUAGAAAUCAGUUGUAUAAUAAUGCCUUUGUAUGUCUGUCUUUUCUUAUGUAUUUUUAAAUAACGAGUAAUCUAUACUUUAAUAAAAUUUUUCUUUGGUGUAA
rnacentral:lncRNA from 1 species